rnacentral:rRNA from 1 species
AGAACGAACGCUGGCGGCGUGGAUAAGACAUGCAAGUCGAACGCGAUUUAUCAGGUUAGCAAUAACUUGGUAAAUUGAGUGGCGAAAGGGUGCGUAACACGUGGGAAUUUACCAAAAAGUGGGGAAUAGCUCGGCGAAAGCCGAAUUAAUACCGCAUGUGAUCGAAAGAUCAAAGCCGGGGACCGCAAGGCCUGGCGCUUUUUGAGAAGCCCGCGGCCCAUCAGCUAGUUGGCGGGGUAAAAGCCCACCAAGGCUAUGACGGGUAGCUGGUCUGAGAGGACGACCAGCCACACUGGAACUGAGACACGGUCCAGACACCUACGGGUGGCAGCAGUCGAGAAUUUUUCACAAUGGACGAAAGUCUGAUGGAGCGACGCCGCGUGGAGGAUGAAGGUUCUUGGAUUGUAAACUCCUGUCACUGCAGAACAAGGCAGUGCGUAUGAAUAGUACGUGCUGUU